CACACCUUUCGAAGGUGUUGUAAAAUGUUCUUGAAAAGUUCAAAACAGUUGGUUCUUCUACUUGAAUGUAUGAUUCCGUAUUAGUAACUAUGUUUUACAAAUCGUUGUGAAAAGUGUGACUAAUAAGAAGUAGAAGAUAUAUGAGAGAAGAAAAGGUGCUUCACAUACGAAACGUGAAUCAAAUGUAGAUCUCUGUGAAAACAGAUAGUACUUACUUCCUCAUAUGAACUACCAAAGAAAUUGGAUUAUAGUAAUCUAAUUGAUUGUCUCUAU
rnacentral:lncRNA from 1 species